rnacentral:rRNA from 1 species
AGUGCAUGUGGUGGAUGCCUUGGCAGUCAGAGGCGAUGAAAGACGUGAUAGCCUGCGAAAAGCUCCGGGGAGGCGGCAAAUAUCCUUUGAUCCGGAGAUGUCUGAAUGGGGGAACCCACCUACUUUAAGGUAGGUAUUGCAACAUGAAUACAUAGUGUUGCAAGGCGAACGAGGGGAAGUGAAACAUCUCAGUACCCUUAGGAAAAGAAAUCAAUUGAGAUUCCCUCAGUAGCGGCGAGCGAACGGGGAUCAGCCCAUUAAGUUAUGUGUGUUUUAGUGGAACGCUCUGGGAAGUGCGAACGUAGAGGGUGAUAUUCCCGUACACGAAAGGGCACACAUAAUGAUGACGAGUAGGGCGAGGCACGUGAAACCUUGUCUGAAUAUGGGGGGACCAUCCUCCAAGGCUAAAUACUCCUGACUGACCGAUAGUGAACCAGUACCGUGAGGGAAAGGCGAAAAGAACCCCUGUGAGGGGAGUGAAAUAGAUCCUGAAACCGCAUGCAUACAAGCAGUGGGAGCACCUUCGUGGUGUGACUGCGUACCUUUUGUAUAAUGGGUCAGCGACUUAUAUUCAGUAGCGAGGUUAACCGUAUAGGGGAGCCGUAGAGAAAUCGAGUCUUAAUAGGGCGUUUAGUUGCUGGGUAUAGACCCGAAACCAGGCGAUCUAUCCAUGAGCAGGUUGAAGGUUGGGUAACACUAACUGGAGGACCGAACCCACUGUCGUUGAAAAGCCAGGGGAUGACUUGUGGAUAGGGGUGAAAGGCUAAUCAAGCCUGGUGAUAGCUGGUUCUCCCCGAAAGCUAUUUAGGUAGCGCCUCGGACGAAUACCAUAGGGGGUAGAGCACUGUUUCGGCUAGGGGGUCAUCCCGACUUACCAAACCGAUGCAAACUCCGAAUACCUAUGAGUACUAUCCGGGAGACAGACUGCGGGUGCUAACGUCCGUAGUCAAGAGGAAAACAAUCCAGACCGCCAGCUAAGGCCCCAAAAUCAUAGUUAAGUGGGAAACGAUGUGGGAAGGCAUAGACAGCUAGGAGGUUGGCUUAGAAGCAGCCACCCUUUAAAGAAAGCGUAAUAGCUCACUAGUCGAGUCGGCCUGCGCGGAAGAUGUAACGGGGCUAAAACUAUGUGCCGAAGCUGCGGAUGUAUACUUUGUAUACGUGGUAGGGGAGCGUUCUGUAAGCCGAUGAAGGUGUGUUGAGAAGCAUGCUGGAGGUAUCAGAAGUGCGAAUGCUGACGUGAGUAACGACAAAACGGGUGAAAAACCCGUUCGCCGAAAGACCAAGGGUUCCAGUCCAACGUUAAUCGGGGCUGGGUGAGUCGACCCCUAAGGCGAGGCCGAAAGGCGUAGUCGAUGGGAAAAUGGUUAAUAUUCCAUUACUUCUGUGUAAUGCGAUGAGAGGACGGAGAAGGCUAAAUCAGCCUGGCGUUGGUUGUCCAGGUGAAAGGAUGUAGGCAUGUAUCUUAGGCAAAUCCGGGGUACUCUAUGCUGAGAUCUGAUAGCAAGCUGUACUUGUACAGCGAAGUGGUUGAUGCCAUGCUUCCAGGAAAAGUCUCUAAGCUUCAGUUACACAGGAAUCGUACCCGAAACCGACACAGGUGGUCAGGUCGAGUAGACCAAGGCGCUUGAGAGAACUCUGCUGAAGGAACUAGGCAAAAUGGUACCGUAACUUCGGGAGAAGGUACGCUGUUGUUGGUGAUGGAACUCGCUUCCUGAGCUGACGACAGCCGCAGAAACCAGGCCGCUGCAACUGUUUAUUAAAAACAUAGCACUCUGCAAACACGAAAGUGGACGUAUAGGGUGUGAUGCCUGCCCGGUGCUGGAAGGUUAAUUGAUGGGGUUAGCGUAAGCGAAGCUCUUGAUCGAAGCCCCAGUAAACGGCGGCCGUAACUAUAACGGUCCUAAGGUAGCGAAAUUCCUUGUCGGGUAAGUUCCGACCUGCACGAAUGGCAUAAUGAUGGCGGCGCUGUCUCCAGCAGAGGCUCAGUGAAAUCGAAAUCGCUGUGAAGAUGCAGUGUACCCGCGGCUAGACGGAAAGACCCCGUGAACCUUUACUGCAGCUUGACACUGAACUUUGACCUUACUUGUGUAGGAUAGGUGGGAGGCUUUGAAGCUGGAACGCUAGUUCCAGUGGAGCCGUCCUUGAAAUACCACCCUGGUAAUGUUGAGGUUCUAACUCUGUCCCGUGAUCCGGGACGAGGACCGUGUCUGGUGGGUAGUUUGACUGGGGCGGUCUCCUCCUAAAGAGUAACGGAGGAGUACGAAGGUGCGCUCAGCGUGGUCGGAAAUCACGCGUAGAGUAUAAAGGCAAAAGCGCGCUUAACUGCGAGACCCACAAGUCGAGCAGGUACGAAAGUAGGUCUUAGUGAUCCGGUGGUUCUGUAUGGAAGGGCCAUCGCUCAACGGAUAAAAGGUACUCUGGGGAUAA